AGCGAACGCUGGCGGCAGGCCUAACACAUGCCAGUCGAACGAACUCUUCGGAGUUAGUGGCGGACGGGUGAGUAACACGUGGGAACGUGCCUUUAGGUUCGGAAUAACUCAGGGAAACUUGUGCUAAUACCGAAUGUGCCCUUCGGGGGAAAGAUUUAUCGCCUUUAGAGCGGCCCGCGUCUGAUUAGCUAGUUGGUGAGGUAAAGGCUCACCAAGGCGACGAUCAGUGGCUGGUCUGAGAGGAUGAUCAGCCACAUUGGGACUGAGACACGGCCCAAACUCCUACGGGAGGCAGCAGUGGGGAAUCUUGCGCAAUGGGCGAAAGCCUGACGCAGCCAUGCCGCGUGAAUGAUGAAGGUCUUAGGAUUGUAAAAUUCUUUCACCGGGGACGAUAAUGACGGUACCCGGAGAAGAGGCCCCGGCUAACUUCGUG
rnacentral:rRNA from 1 species